CACUGGGAGAGUUUAUGUUAACACCACUGGGAGAGUUUAUGUUAACACCACUGGGAGGUUUACUUUAUGUUAACACCACUGGGAGAGUUUAUGUUAACACCACUGGGAAGUUUACUUUAUGUUUAACACCACUGGGAGAGUUUAUUUUAUGUUAACACCACUGGGAGAGUUUAUGUUAACACCACUGGGAGAGUUUACUUUAUGUUAACACCAC